UACGGGGGGGGCAAGCGUUGUCCGGAAUUACUGGGCGUAAAGGGCGUGUAGGCGGCCUGUUAAGUCGGACGUGAAAUCCCUCGGCUCAACCGGGGAACUGCGUCCGAAACUGGCGGGCUUGAAUUCGGGAGAGGGAUGUGGAAUUCCAGGUGUAGCGGUGAAAUGCGUAGAUAUCUGGAGGAACACCGGUGGCGAAGGCGGCAUCCUGGACCGACAUUGACGCUGAGGCGCGAAAGCCAGGGGAGCAAACGGG
rnacentral:rRNA from 1 species